rnacentral:rRNA from 1 species
UACGGAGGGUGCAAGCGUUAUCCGGAAUCAUUGGGUUUAAAGGGUGCGCAGGCGGCCGUGCCAGUCAGAAGUGAAAGCCCCCCGCUUAACGGGGGAACUGCUUUUGAUACUACACGGCUCGGAUUAGGAUGAGGUCGGCGGAAUGUGUCAUGUAGCGGUGAAAUGCUUAGAUAUGACAUGGAACACCAAUUGCGUAGGCAGCCGGCUGGACCUAUAUCGACGCUGAGGCACGAAAGCGUGGGGAGCGAACAGG